GCGCCUGUAGCUCAGCGGACAGAGCGGCGGCCUUCUAAGCCGCGGGUCGGAGGUUCGAAUCCUCCCAGGCGCA
rnacentral:tRNA from 2 species